GACGAACGCUGGCGGCGUGCUUAACACAUGCAAGUCGAACGGAAAGGCCAUGAUCUUGCUCCGUCCUCGUCAGGGGCAAACGUGUGAGUAACACGUGUACAAUCUGCUUCUAACUCUGGUAUAAUCUUGGGACUCGGGAUCUAAUACCGUAUACGACGCUGAAGCGCGGCGUGGCCUGGUGAAAAACUGCGGUUGGGGAUGUAAUCGCGGCUUAUCAGCUUGUUGGGGAGGUAGUGGCUGACCAAGGUUAUGAGGGGUAGCCGGCCUGAGAGGGUGACCGGCCACACUGGGACUGAGAUACGGCCCAGACUCCUACGGGAGGCAGCAGUGGGGAAUAUUGCACAAUGGGCGCAAGCCUGAUGCAGCAACGCCGCGUGCGGGAAGACGGCCUUCGGGUUGUAAACCGCUUUCGGCAGGGACGAAGCGAAAGUGACGGUACCUGCAGAAAAAGCACCGGCUAACUACGUG
rnacentral:rRNA from 1 species